rnacentral:rRNA from 1 species
AUGUUCUUCUGAUUUACUUAGAAGAUUUGGCCUGCACCCUGAAAAUUUUAAAGAGCUGCAGUAUUAUGACUGUACAAAGGUAGCAUAAUCAUUAGUCUUUUAAUUGAGGACUUGUAUGAAAGGUUUGACUAGAAAAUACUGUCUCAUUUCAAGAGGUUGAAGUUUUCGUUUUUGUUAAAAGACAAAAAUAAGAAUAAUAGACAAGAAGACCCUUUUAAACUUGAUUUAGAUUAGAGUAAGAGUUUUUAUUAUAAUUAAGUUAUUAUAGUUAAGAUUUUGCUGGGGCGGCAGAUUUAUAAACAAUACUUUAAAAAAAUUAAAAGCUAAUAAAAAGAUCUUUAAAGAGGAAAAAAGAAAAAGUUACUAAAGGGAUAACAGCGUAAUAUAUUUUAAGAGUUCUUAUUGACAAAUAUGUUUGCGA